ACACCCCGACUGUCUAAAAGCGGGCCCUAGGGAGCGCCGCAAGCAAGGAGCGCCGCAACCAGGAUGUGUGGGGCAGGGAGGAGCGCACGGAGGAUCCUCUCCCUCUGCUUUGGGAACUCUACUAUAACGUAUAAUUAAUUCACUAUGGUAGGCACCCGUCGCAGUGGCUGGGCCAAGGCAGCAACCCAAAGUGAGGAGAUACAGCCUCUCUGGGCUUGUGGGGGCAUCCAUGUGUUACCUGCUGCUCUCCAGGUGAACAACACAAUGAACAGCUGCAGUCCCAUGGAGUACAUGAUGGCAGUAUAUUGGACAGCUCUUCUGACUGCAUGUGGCCAGCUGCAUGUGCCCCACAGAAAGUCACCGUGGUUCUUCUCAUCACUUUCUAGCCCUCUAUCCUUGAGCUCUUUGCCAGGAAACCCAAAUAUUAGCAUAAAAAACUGCAUCAUGAGCAAAGCAAAAGUACAGCUAGCUGGUGCAGUGAGAUGCCACCCCCCCAGCCUCCCCAAGACAGUCAAAACAUGGGACAGAUUAGCAUGGUUGUCUCCUCAAGGCACAGUGAUGAAGGACACAGUGGGUUAUUCUGCACAUCAUCUUUUUCAGACAAGUCUGCAGUGAGAAUAGGCAAGGGAAAGUGAGCAUUAUAUCACCCUCCUGGUUGAGAUGAGAAAUUAGAUAUAGACUUGUCUGUCCCUCACCCCCAUCCCCUGUCUCAAAGCAUCUCCUACCCAGUGGCCUUCCAUGCUGCCUGCCCCUUGGAACACCCUGGGACAAUAACCACUCUGGUGUGGCCACCCAGGGCCAUCUUACCUCCAUGUGCACAAGCACCCACGCAUAGCUGACAGUCUCAGCCUUGCAGAUCUAUCUGUGCUCUUUCCCUUCUCCCCAUUUGCCUGUGGGAAUCUCACACCGGAGAGAUCCAUCUAUCUCCUUCCAGCCACCCUGCCAGCCUGACAUGUACAGCUCCUGCAGCCGUGACCUCAACAGGCUAAUGCAUGCCCUGGCACCACUGCCAGCAUCUCUAUUACACACUUCCACAUGCUAUUAUCUCAGUACUUGGUUUCUGUUUCCAAGCCAAGCGCAACCCAAUUGUGU